CCCUUAGAUGUUCUGGGCAGCACGCGCGCUACAAUGGUCUUCGCAAACGGAUGCAUUCUCGAAGGAGAAUGCCAAUCUUGGAAUCUAUGCCUUGGUCGGGACAGUUGCUUGCAAUUUUUCGACUCGAACCAGGAAUUCCUUGUAAUCGUGAUUCAUCACAUCACGAUGAAUACGUCCCUGCCCUUUGUACACACCGCCCGUCGCUCCUACCGAUCGAAGAGUUAGGUGAAUUGUUUUGAUCGAUAAGAUUUGACUAUGGUCAACUCUCGUUGUGAAAUUCUGUGAAUCUGACUGUUUCGAGGAAGGAAAAGUCGUAACA
rnacentral:rRNA from 1 species